AGUAAUUGGACUGCAGAUCGGGUUUUUUCAUAGAUAUAAAUACGAGUUUUUUUCUAACAUACUCUCAUUUUUAUUAUAGUACAUUUUUGUGACCACAUGGGGGCGCCAGAAACUCUGCUGACCAAGCAGUGACAGACAAGAAAUUAAUGGAAAGCAUUGGACAUACACCACCACCUUGGCGUUGAUAGGGCUAAUUUAGAUAGAAUGGUCAUGUUGGGCCUGGUAAUGAACCCUACCAGAGGCUGAACUUGGAGCUGAGACCAGAAAACAUCAGGAACGGAUGUAAAAUAAGUCCGAUCUUCUGUCUGCUCUGAGUCUUCAUCACCUCCAUCCCCCAUGAGGCUGCAGAAGCUCCAUCCUUCACUCUCAGCUGCAGCAACAGCAGCAGCAGCUCCUGCUAAAUGUGAGAUAAUCUCCUGGGCUUUAGCUGCAGCAAGAAUCCACCUUAACGUCUCCUAAGCUCUUACUGUCCUUGACUUGGACGGCAGUAAACAGCUGAAGUUGGAGAUAAAAGCUUUUCCCACUUGGUAUCUCAAGUUUCAAUGAGGCCAAUAAAAUGUAUCAACAUUUUACCAUAUCCUUAUUCAGGAUUUUUUUUUUAAGUGUUGAUCUUCAGCUUUGACAGGCAAAUGAUAUUUCUUUUGAGUUUUUAUUAAUUUCUUCUCCCAACAUGCAAAAUAAAACAAAUAUCAUCAACUUAAA